UACAGAGGAGCCAAGCGUUGUCCGGAUUGACUGGGCGUAAAGCGCACGCAGGCGGUUGCGCGCGUGGGGUGUGAAAUCUGGCCGCUUAACGGCCAGGCGCCAUCCCAUACGGCGCGACUGGAGUGAUGCAGAGGUCGAUGGAAUUGCCGGUGUAGUGGUGAAAUGCGUAGAGAUCGGCAGGAACACCCAGGGGGAAACCAGUCGACUGGGCACCUACUGACGCUGAGGUGCGAGAGCGUGGGGAGCGAACCGG
rnacentral:rRNA from 1 species